rnacentral:rRNA from 1 species
AAAACACCCCUACGGGAGGCAGCAGUGGGGAAUAUUGGACAAUGGGGGCAACCCUGAUCCAGCAAUGCCGCGUGUGUGAAGAAGGUCUUCGGAUCGUAAAGCACUUUCGACAGGGACGAUGAUGACGGUACCUGUAGAAGAAGCCCCGGCUAACUUCGUGCCAGCAGCCGCGGUAAUACGAAGGGGGCUAGCGUUGCUCGGAAUUACUGGGCGUAAAGGGCGCGUAGGCGGCUCUGUUAGUCAGGCGUGAAAUUCCUGGGCUUAACCUGGGGACUGCGCUUGAUACUGCGGAGCUCGAGGCCGAGAGAGGGUGGUGGAAUUCCCAGUGUAGAGGUGAAAU